rnacentral:rRNA from 1 species
GCUCGAGUGGCGAACGGGUGAGUAACACGUGAGUAACCUGCCCUUGACUUUGGGAUAACUUCAGGAAACUGGGGCUAAUACCGGAUAGGAGCUCCUGCUGCAUGGUGGGGGUUGGAAAGUUUCGGUGGUUGGGGAUGGACUCGCGGCUUAUCAGCUUGUUGGUGGGGUAGUGGCUUACCAAGGCUUUGACGGGUAGCCGGCCUGAGAGGGUGACCGGCCACAUUGGGACUGAGAUACGGCCCAG